rnacentral:rRNA from 1 species
GUUUCGAGCCGAGUAAAGCGGAUCAAUAGUCGAGUAAGCUCCAACGGCGAGCCUGCGGUCGAGGGAGCAACGCCAUUGGAUUGACUGGCAGGCUUCAGAAGACGAUGGGAAUCGCAAUGGCGAACUGAUCCAGCUUCCCGUUCGAAAGAGCUCUGGUUGUAACCGUUUCCAGGAGAAGGUCGCUUAUACUGGAUCAUGCGGUACUGAAGAUAAGGACACUACUCGUGCUAGCAGCCGGGUUAUCGUAGGGCUACGGUCAUCGGAAUUCUGGCGGUAAACGUGGCAGCGGUUAUGCUAAGCAAGAGGUGAAAUCCUGGCUCAACCUGGGACUGCCUUUGUGACUUGCAUGGCUAGAGUACGGUAGAGAGGGAUGGAAUUCCGCGUGUAGCAGUGAAAUGCGUAGAUAUGCGGAGGAACACCGAUGGCGAAGCAAUCCCCUGGACCUGUACUGACGCUCAUGCACGAAAGCGUGGGGAGCAAACAGGAUUAGAUACCCUGGUAGUCACGCCCUAAACGAUGUCAACUGGUUGUUGGGAGGGUUUCUUCUCAGUAACGUAGCUAACGCGUGAAGUUGACCGCCUGGGGAGUACGGCCGCAAAGGUUGAAACUCAAAGGAAUUGACGGGGACCCGCACAAGCGGUGGAUGAUGUGGUUUAAUUCGAUGCAACGCGAAAAACCUUACCUACCCUUGACAUGUCUGGAAUCCUGAAGAGAUUCGGGAGUGCUCGAAAGAGAGCCAGAACACAGGUGCUGCAUGGCCGUCGUCAGCUCGUGUCGUGAGAUGUUGGGUUGAGUCCCGCAACGAGCGCAACCCUUGUCAUUAGUUGCUACGAAAGGGCACUCUAAUGAGACUGCCGGUGACAAACCGGAGGAAGGUGGGGAUGACGUCAGGUCAUCAUGGCCCUUAUGGGUAGGGCUACACACGUCAUACAAUGGCCGGGACAGAGGGCUGCCAACCCGCGAGGGGGAGCUAAUCCCAGAAACCCGGUCGUAGUCCGGAUCGUAGUCUGCAACUCGACUGCGUGAAGUCGGAAUCGCUAGUAAUCGCGGAUCAGCUGCCGACGGAAUCCCU